rnacentral:rRNA from 1 species
CCUACGGGAGGCAGCAGUGGGGAAUAUUGGGCAAUGGGCGCAAGCCUGACCCAGCAACGCCGCGUGAAGGAAGAAGGCUUUCGGGUUGUAAACUUCUUUUAUCAGGGACGAAGCAAGUGACGGUACCUGAGGAAUAAGCCACGGCUAACUACGUGCCAGCAGCCGCGGUAAUACGUAGGUGGCAAGCGUUAUCCGGAUUUACUGGGUGUAAAGGGCGUGUAGGCGGGAGAGCAAGUCAGAUGUGAAAACCAUGGGCUCAACCCAUAGCCUGCAUUUGAAACUGUACUUCUUGAGUGCUGGAGAGGCAAUCGGAAUUCCGAGUGUAGCGGUGAAAUGCGUAGAUAUAAGGAGGAACACCAGUGGCGAAGGCGGAUUGCUGGACAGUAACUGACGCUGAGGCGCGAAAGCGUGGGGAGCAAACAGGAUUAGAUACCCGAGUAGUC